CUAACGGUCUUUUUCAAGACCAAAGAGUUGUGGGAAAUAAUUUCUU
rfam:Aedes aegypti strain Liverpool supercont1.299 genomic scaffold, whole genome shotgun sequence.